GGAAAUUGGAAUGGCUUAUUGACCACAUGUGUUUUUUAUUGAACAAAUUUCUUUGGUGGCGGGAGCAAUCCUACCGCCAGAGGUUAUAACUAAACCAAACUUUUUAUUUACAGUCAAACUUGAUUUAUUAUUACAAUAGUCAAAACUUUCAACAACGGAUCUCUUGGUUCUCGCAUCGAUGAAGAACGCAGCGAAAUGCGAUACGUAAUAUGAAUUGCAGAUAUUCGUGAAUCAUCGAAUCUUUGAACGCACAUUGCGCCCUUUGGUAUUCCAAAGGGCAUGCCUGUUUGAGCGUCAUUUCUCCCUCAAACCCCCGGGUUUGGUGUUGAGCAAUACGCUAGGUUUGUUUGAAAGAAUUUAACGUGGAAACUUAUUUUAAGCGACUUAGGUUUAUCCAAAAACGCUUAUUUUGCUAGUGGCCACCACAAUUUAUUUCAUAACUUUGACCUCAAAUCAGGUAGGACUACCCGCUGAACUUAAGCAUAUCAAUAGCCCGGAGGAA
rnacentral:rRNA from 1 species